rnacentral:rRNA from 1 species
AGAGUUUGAUCCUGGCUCAGGACGAACGCUGGCGGCGUGCUUAACACAUGCAAGUCGAGCGAUGAAGCUCCUUCGGGAGUGGAUUAGCGGCGGACGGGUGAGUAACACGUGGGCAACCUGCCUUGUAGAGAGGGAUAGCCAUUCGAAAGGAUGAUUAAUACCUCAUAAUAUUGUAGCUUCGCAUGAAGCAACAAUCAAAG